CCCGUUCAGUUUUGUCAGAUUACAUAAUAAGGAAGUUUAAGUGCUACCAUACGUGAUGAGGAACCAAGACAGAAAUAUCUAACAGGAAACACAGCUAUUGUGAUUCCUUAGAAAAGAUACCAGCAAGUAGAAGGUACUUCACAUUGUCAUUGCUUUCUGUGGUUGAGAAGUAAUACUUAGAGUUACAUAUUGAUUGUGUAGCUCUGAGUUAAAGGCCAAGACCAUUAAAGUAGUAUGAGUGAAGAACAGUUAAUAGCAGAAGUAGGUAUAUCCACCGUAUGCAUGAAGAGAAUGGACAUGUCAACAUCUGAGCUGGCAAGCUGCAUCACAUGGAAGUUACAAAAAAAAAUAAUAAUAAUCAAGGAAAUCAACCAGAAAUCAAUAUUUCUAACUAGAAGUGAUAUCCAUGCUAUGAGGCUGAUGAAUCCAGGACGAUUGAUAAUCAGUGUUUCUGACCAUGAUCUGAAGAGUUGCUCUGAGCAAGAAAGAGAAAGGAGAUUAUGCUUUCAGCAUCACUGCAAAGACCAGAUGAAGUGCUGUGUCUCAAGGAGAAGUGAGCAGUGCAAGCUAUACCUUGAACAGCCUGCUGCUGUUAUUGUUGCUGCUGCUGUCAGACUACCUGUCUUGGUAAGUAGAAAGGCCUUCAUGGCAAAAAAACAACUGGUAUUCAUUAAGCAGUCAUGAUCAUGAACCUGUACUGUUGCUGAGAUACUAAGUGACAUUCAGAAAACACAAAACAUUACUGAAGAACAUCUUAGUAUGACUGUCAUGCUGUUAUUGCAUUAGAGGAUUCAUGCUUCAAACUUGUCCAAAAGCCUGCACAGAGAGGCUGAAUUCAUAAAUCUGUUGCUCUCAUUUAUUCUAGUGUUCGUCCCUACAUCAUAUAUCACUCCAUCUCUAAGUUUACAUCCUUUUCUGCUUCAGUCUCUUCAUGUUUCUAUGCCUUGCACAUUUUGCAAGUUAUUUCCUUGUUGUGAAUAUAAAUGUCUUCACCUAAAUACGGAAAAAUUGAAAAAAUGUCUUCAUUUUAGGCAAAGCAAAGAGUGUUAGGAUUCAACAAUUUAUAAGCUGGAGAAUAUUAAAAUAUAGCUCUAUGGAUCUCUAAUAUGUUCUUACUGGAAUCUGGAAAUCUAGUGGUGAGCUCUGACAACGUUACUGCAUAUACACAUAUGUACCCUAAAAGUGAAGUUAAGGUUAACUAACUUAACUUCUUUCUAACCAUUAGAAAAAAAAUCAGACAAGCAACAAAAAUGAGUAAAAUAUUUGUUUUAAAGUGGAAAUUUUGAAAGAUAUACAAAACAAUGGUAUGAAAUGGGACAUCCAGAAUACUAUUUUCAUUAUACAUAUCACAUGUGCAAGCAAAUGUAAUAGAUAGCACAUAUUAAGUUCAUAUCAUUCACAGAACUGUAUUUGUAUGCACAGAUGCUAAAAUUCCUUGAAAGUGAAUCAGCAACAAACCCAGUAAACAGUUUUCUUGUUAUUCAGUCCUUUACACUGUCCACUGGACCAUGAUGACUUCUUGAUGUUUAUUCAAGUAGCUAAGGACCUUUCUAUGAUGACAAUGCUGUUUGCCUUAAGCCCAUUCCAGUAAAUAUGUAACAUCUCUUCUAGCUGCAGACAAGCCUACAAAAUAAUUUUAAAUGAUUAAUAGCAUUAGUAGAAGUGACAUUGCUUUGCCAAAGGGAUGACAAUUCUUCUCUGUUGUCUGAAAAAAAAAAAAAAAAAAAAAAAGAUUUUCUCUUUUUAACAGUAUCAUAAGUGCUAAUUGUUUUCCUGCCAUCACACAUGCACAAACACACAUUUCUGCAGUUUAUGGGCUCAAUUGGGUAGGAGAAAACAUUCCUAUCAGACAAUGGCGUUUUGAAGAUGGGAUAGCCUACUUAAUUCUUAACAUGCAGCAGAGUUUGACACCACCUUUGGAAGCACUGUAAGACAAUUUAAAAUGGAGGUAAUCUUUCAACAGCUUGAAAGGUUUCUUUUUUCCUUGAAACAGACUAUUUACAAAGAGGUAAUGACAAAAAGAAUUAAUUUGAAAUCCUUCUAAAAUAUCAUCAGUUUAGCUAUCCAAAAUAUGCAAUUUCAGAAAAUGUGAAAGGUAGUUAUCCUGCUGCAAAAGCAAUUUAAAUAGCAUACUAGAAGCCAUUCAAGUGCAUAUAUUUCUCUAAUUUGUCAGUGCAUUAUAUACAUACAAGUCUGUUUGUUUGUUUUCCUGAAGAAAACUAUGUUGUUUAGGUUGAUAGCAAAAAAUUGUCCAUUAAGUAUUUCAUAUCUUUGAGAACUUAGUUUUGGUUUUAGAUGUUUUUAACAUUUUAAUGAGAAGUAGUGUGUUUUGUUUUGUUUAAGAGAUAUAAGGAAACUCUUACAGUUUCAAAUGAUACUCUCUUUCCUUCCCUCUUACCCUUGUCGUCUAUUUAUUCAAAAAUGCAGAUGGAAUCAGCUGUUUAGCUGUUACGGUCAAGAUCUUUAAAAAAGAUUAGACUACUUUCUCAUUAGUUAGAAAUUGUUAUUUAUUAAUGCAGUCUUAAGCAAUCUCAGACAGCAGCAAGGAUAGACUCUCAACUAAAUAUUUAUCUUAUAUCUAAUUAAAACAGCAAAGUACAAAAAUAAUUUCUGUAAGUGCAUUAUCCUUCUUGAAUCAAAUACGGGGUGGCUACCUAGGGGACUAAAUAAUAUGUCAAAGGCUGGGGUCUCUCCCUAAUUUUUAUUUCAUGGAAAGGUAAAAAAUAAAAAUAAAUAAAAUCUGUAAAAAGACCUUGAA
rnacentral:lncRNA from 1 species